rnacentral:rRNA from 1 species
AGUGAACGCUGGCGGUAGGCCUAACACAUGCAAGUCGAACGGCAGCACAGUAAGAGCUUGCUCUUACGGGUGGCGAGUGGCGGACGGGUGAGGAAUACAUCGGAAUCUACUUUUUCGUGGGGGAUAACGUAGGGAAACUUACGCUAAUACCGCAUACGACCUACGGGUGAAAGCAGGGGAUCUUCGGACCUUGCGCGAUUGAAUGAGCCGAUGUCGGAUUAGCUAGUUGGCGGGGUAAAGGCCCACCAGGGCGACGAUCCGUAGCUGGUCUGAGAGGAUGAUCAGCCACACUGGAACUGAGACACGUUCCAGACUCCUACGGGAGGCAGCAGUGGGGAAUAUUGGACAAUGGGCGCAAGCCUGAUCCAGCCAUACCGCGUGGGUGAAGAAGGCCUUCGGGUUGUAAAGCCCUUUUGUUGGGAAAGAAAAGCAGCAGGUUAAUACCCCGCUGUUCUGACGGUACCCAAAGAAUAAGCACCGGCUAACUUCGUG